ACGAACGCUGGCGGCGUGCUUAACCCCUGCAAGUCGUACGGUGAAGCGCCUUCCUUUUUGGUGGGUGUGGAUGAGUGGCGAACGGGUGAGUAACACGUGAGUAACCUGCCCCCUUCUUCUGGAUAACCGCAUGAAAGUGUGGCUAAUACGGGAUAUUCUGGGUCUGUCGCAUGAUGGGUCUGGGAAAGAUAUUGUUUCGGUGGGGGAUGGGCUCGCGGCCUAUCAGCUUGUUGGUGGGGUGAUGGCCUACCAAGGCGGUGACGGGUAGCCGGCCUGAGAGGGUGGACGGUCACACUGGGACUGAGACACGGCCCAGACUCCUACGGGAGGCAGCAGUGGGGAAUAUUGCACAAUGGGCGCAAGCCUGAUGCAGCGACGCCGCGUGAGGGAUGGAGGCCUUCGGGUUGUGAACCUCUUUCGCCAGUGAAGCAGGCCUGCCUCGUUUGUGGGUGGGUUGACGGUAGCUGGAUAAGAAGCGCCGGCUAACUACGUG
rnacentral:rRNA from 1 species